GAGUUUGAUCCUGGCUCAGAUUGAACGCUGGCGGCAUGCCUUACACAUGCAAGUCGAACGGCAGCACGGGAGCAAUCCUGGUGGCGAGUGGCGAACGGGUGAGUAAUGUAUCGGAACGUACCUUUCAGUGGGGGAUAACGUAGCGAAAGUUACGCUAAUACCGCAUAUUCUGUGAGCAGGAAAGCAGGGGAUCGCAAGACCUUGCGCUGAUUGAGCGGCCGAUAUCAGAUUAGCUAGUUGGUGAGGUAAAGGCUCACCAAGGCGACGAUCUGUAGCGGGUCUGAGAGGAUGAUCCGCCACACUGGAACUGAGUCACGGUCCAGACUCCUACGGGAGGCAGCAGUGGGGAAUUUUGGACAAUGGGGGCAACCCUGAUCCAGCCAUGCCGCGUGAGUGAAGAAGGCCUUCGGG
rnacentral:rRNA from 1 species